CCAGCUACUCAGAAGGUUGAGGCAUGAGAAUGGCUUGAACCUGGGAGGCAGAGGUUGCAGUGAGCUGAGAUGGCACUACUGCACUCCUGUCUGGGCCACAGAGUGAGACCUGGUCCCCCUGAGCACCCCCCCAACAAAGUAAAGGAUUUGGGAUUAAGCCCUAGUGUACUUGGAAAUGUUGAGGUUGUUAAGAUGAGCAGGAAAAAGAGAAGCAAGCAGAGGAGGGGCAGCGAGUGGAGUAGGAAGAGAAAGAGGGUGGUUUCCAAGGAGCCAAGUCAAGAAUGUGCUUCGUGAGGACAGAAUGAUUACUGGGUUGAUGCUGCAGAUACUGUGUGUCAAAUAAGGUAAGGACUGCAUUGUAUUUAGUGAUAGAGAGGUCAUUGCUGACACUGACAAGAGCCAGUUCAGAAUGGUGGGGACAGAAGUAUGAUUUGAGUGGGCUCAAGAGAGAGUAGGGGAAAGAAAUUUGAGUCCAGCAAUGAUUAAAAUAUUCUUUGGGAAGACUUUUGCUGUGAAGGGAGCAAAAAGCUGAAGGUAGCUAAAGAGAGAUACCAAGAGAAGGUAAUUUUAUUAUUAUUUUUUGAGACGGAGCUCACUUUGUCACCCAGGCUGGAGUGCAGUGGUGGGAUCACAGCUCACUGCAGCCUCAACCUCCUUCACUCAAGCGAUCCUUCCACUUCAGCCUUCUGAGUAGCUGGAACUACAGGCACGUGCACCACACCCAGCUAAUUUUUUUAUGAGCUUGAGCCUAGGAGUUCAAUACCAGUCUGGGCAACAUAGUGAAGCCCCAUCUGUACAAAACAAUACAGAAAUUAGUGCUUGCUUCAGCAGCACCUAUACUAAAAUUGGAAUGAUACGGAGAAGUUUAGCACAGCCCCUGUGCAAGAAUGACACGCACAUUCAUAAAACAUUUCAUAUAUUUGUAGAAGCACAUAGGAAAAAAAAUACAAAAAUUAGCCAGGUGUGGUGGUGUAUGCCUGUAGUCCCAGCUACUUGGGAGGCUGAGGCGGGAGAAUCACCUAAGCCCAGAAGGUCGAGCCUGCAGUGAGCU
rnacentral:lncRNA from 1 species